AAUUGGAGGGCAAGUCUGGUGCCAGCAGCCGCGGUAAUUCCAGCUCCAAUAGCGUAUAUUAAAGUUGUUGCAGUUAAAAAGCUCGUAGUUGAAUUUCGGGAUUGACACAUCGGUCGUGCCUUAAGGGGUAUGAACUGGUGUAGUCAAUUUCUCACCUUCUGGAGAACCGCGAUGCCCUUAAUUGGGUGUCACGGGGAACCAGGACCUUUACUUUGAAAAAAUUAGAGUGUUUAAAGCAGGCAUUUUGCUUGAAUACAUUAGCAUGGAAUAAUAAAAUAGGACGGCAUGAUUCUAUUUUGUUGGUUUCUAGGAUCACCGUAAUGAUUAAUAGGGAUAGCUGGGGGCAUUAGUAUUCAAUUGUCAGAGGUGAAAUUCUUGGAUUUAUUGAAGACUAACUACUGCGAAAGCAUUUGCCAAGGAUGUUUUCAUUAAUCAAGAACGAAAGUUAGGGGAUCGAAGACGAUCAGAUACCGUCGUAGUCUUAACCAUAAACUAUGCCGACUAGGAAUCAGACGAUGUUAAUUUUUUAAUGACUCGUUUGGCACCUUACGGGAAACCAAAGUGU
rnacentral:rRNA from 1 species